CAUGCAAGUCGAACGAUGAACCACUUCGGUGGGGAUUAGUGGCGAACGGGUGAGUAACACGUGGGCAAUCUGCCCUGCACUCUGGGACAAGCCCUGGAAACGGGGUCUAAUACCGGAUACUGACCCUCGCAGGCAUCUGCGAGGUUCGAAAGCUCCGGCGGUGCAGGAUGAGCCCGCGGCCUAUCAGCUUGUUGGUGAGGUAAUGGCUCACCAAGGCGACGACGGGUAGCCGGCCUGAGAGGGCGACCGGCCACACUGGGACUGAGACACGGCCCAGACUCCUACGGGAGGCAGCAGUGGGGAAUAUUGCACAAUGGGCGAAAGCCUGAUGCAGCGACGCCGCGUGAGGGAUGACGGCCUUCGGGUUGUAAACCUCUUUCAGCAGGGAAGAAGCGAAAGUGACGGUACCUGCAGAAGAAGCGCCGGCUAACUACGUGCCAGCAGCCGCGGGUAAUUCA
rnacentral:rRNA from 2 species